GACGAACGCUGGUGGCGUGCUUAACACAUGCAAGUCGAGCGGAGCGGCGAACGGGUGAGUAACGCGUGAGUAACUGCCCCCCUCUCUGGGAUAACAGUUGGAAACGGCUGCUAAUACCGGAUAGGGGGGGAUGAAUCGCGUCAUAUCAGCUUGUUGGUGGGGUAGUGGCCUACCAAGGGGACGGCGGGUAGCCGGCCUGAGAGGGCGACCGGCCACAUUGGGCUGAGAGACUGCCCAAACUGCUUCGGGAGGCAGCAGUGCGGAAUAUUGCACAAUGGUAGAAACCCGUAUGCAGCAACGCGCGUGCGGGAUUACGGCCUUCUGGUUGUAAACCGCUUUCAGCCAUGACGCGGUAGUGGCAGAGGAAGCACCGGCUAACUACGUGCCAGCAGCCGCGGUGAUUC
rnacentral:rRNA from 1 species